UACGUAGGGUGCAAGCGUUGUCCGGGAUUAUUGGGCGUAAAGAGCUCGUAGGCGGUCUGUCGCGUCGAAUGUGAAAACCCGGGACUCAACUCCGGGCCUGCAUUCGAUACGGGCAGACUAGAGUUCGGUAGGGGAGACUGGAAUUCCUGGUGUAGCGGUGAAAUGCGCAGAUAUCAGGAGGAACACCGGUGGCGAAGGCGGGUCUCUGGGCCGAUACUGACGCUGAGGAGCGAAAGCGUGGGGAGCGAACAGG
rnacentral:rRNA from 1 species